ACACUAUUACUUCUUUUCAAAAUGAAGAAAUCUUUUGCUUUUUACUAAAGAUUUUCAUGGAGAGAAAUAGUUAUGAGUUGGUAACCAAAUUUUUUGAAGCCUUCUCAGGCAAGGCU
rnacentral:snRNA from 1 species